UACGUAGGGGGCGAGCGUUGUCCGGAUUUAUUGGGCGUAAAGAGCGUGUAGGCGGUUCGGUAAGUCUGUCGUGAAAUCCUGAGGCUCAACCUCGGGCGUGCGAUGGAUACUGCCGGGCUAGAGGGUGGUAGAGGCGAGUGGAAUUCCCGGUGUAGCGGUGAAAAUGCGCAGAUAUCGGGGAGGAACACCAGUAGCGAAGGCGGCUCGCUGGGCCAUUCCUGACGCUGAGGUACGAAAAGCUAGGGGGAGCGAACGGG
rnacentral:rRNA from 1 species